rnacentral:rRNA from 1 species
ACCUGCCCUGUACAGGGGGAUAACACUUAGAAAUAGGUGCUAAAACCGCAUAAGCGCACAGUACCGCAUGGUACAGUGUGAAAAACUCCGGUGGUACAGGAUGGACCCGCGUCUGAUUAGCUGGUUGGAGGGGUAACGGCCCACCAAGGCGACGAUCAGUAGCCGGCCUGAGAGGGUGAACGGCCACAUUGGGACUGAGACACGGCCCAAACUCCUACGGGAGGCAGCAGUGGGGAAUAUUGCACAAUGGGGGAAACCCUGAUGCAGCGACGCCGCGUGAGUGAAGAAGUAUUUCGGUAUGUAAAGCUCUAUCAGCAGGGAAGAUAAUGACGGUACCUGAGUAAGAAGCCCCGGCUAACUACGUGCCAGCAGCCGCGGUAAUACGUAGGGGGCAAGCGUUAUCCAGAUUUACUGGGUGUAAAGGGAGCGUACACGGCAUGGCAAGUCUGAAGUGAAAGCCCGGGGCUCAACCGCGGGACUGCUUUGGAAACUGUUAAGCUGGAGUGCAAGAGAGGUAAGUGAAAUUCCUAGUGUAGCG